AAUCUUAUAGUUUAACAAAAACAUUAAAUUGCAAAUUUAAAGAUAAUUAAAUUUAAGAUUU
rnacentral:tRNA from 1 species